rnacentral:tRNA from 1 species
ACCUGGCUGGCUUAAUCGGUAGAGCUUGCCACUUUUAAUCUCAGGGCCGUGGGUUCAAGCCCUACGUUGGGCA